rnacentral:SRP_RNA from 1 species
CGGUGGACGGCAUACAGCCAGCUCCCAGUGAACUCCCCCAGGGCGGAAACGCAGCAAGGGUAGCAGGUUGAGCGGUUGGUGUGCUUGUUCACCACAU